UUUCAGAAAAAAUAAAACAUAAAUAAUGAGUACUGAUAGAAUCAACACCUCCAUGAUGAUGGUGUUGGCGGUGGUGUGUCGUGUGUUGUGGUACGUCUGGGGUGUGGUCCAGAACCACCUCCGUCUGCGCCUCCUCUAGCGGCAGUACGACUCCAGCUGGCGGGGACUGUUGAGUAACGUCCCCCUCUUGAAGGUGAUUGUCCCUCCACGCCCCGGGACCUUCACGACCCCCUGGACCUGCUGGACCAUGUCCAGUUGCUUCGUGACGGGCGUCCUCGAGGUGGCCGUCUGGUGGGCCUUCAUCAGGACCCUUAGUAUCCUUCUCGACCUGGACCCAGUUGAGUCCUAAGUGAAGGAGACGGAGUCGACGGGGCCACCUCCAGUGACCCCACCCGUGACCACCCCCGUGACAACACCAGUGUCACACACUCUG